CCCCUAGAUGUUCUGGGCCGCAUGCGCGCUACACUGAACAGUUCAACAAGUCUUAACCUUGGCCGAUAGGUCUGGGUAAUCUUUGAACGCUGUUCGUGAUUGGGAUAGACCUUUGCAAUUAUGGGUCUUCAACGAGGAAUUCCUAGUAAACGCAAGUCAUCAGCUUGCAUUGAUUACGUCCCUGCCCUUUGUACACACCGCCCGUCGCACCUACCGAUUGAAUGGUCCGGUGAAAUCUCGGGACGGCGGCUUGGUCGCUUGCGUCCGACUGCUGAAACUUGAUUAAACCAUAUCAUUUAGAGGAAGGUGAAGUCGUANCA
rnacentral:rRNA from 1 species